rnacentral:rRNA from 1 species
GACGAACGCUGGCGGCGUGCUUAACACAUGCAAGUCGAACGGAAAGGCCCCUCUCGGGGGGUACGCGAGUGGCGAAUGGGUGAGUAAUACGCGAGUAACCCCCGCCUGACGGUUGGAUAACUGCAGGUAACUGUGGUUAAUACCGUAUAGCACCUCCCGCUUGGGGGGGGGUGGUGGGGAUUUUCGGCGGGUGGGGGUGGAGUCGCGGCUUAUCAGGUUGUUGGGGGGGUGGUGGCUUAACAAGGCGUUGAGGGGUAGCCGGGCGGGGGGGGUGAACGGCCCAAUUGGGACUGGGGAACGGCCCAGACUCCUACGGGGGGCAGGAGUGGGGGAUAUUGCCCAAUGGGUGGGAGCCCGAUGCAGCAACGCCGUGUGCGGGAUGACGGGCUUCGGGUUGUAAACCGCUUUCGCUCAUGGCGAAGCUUUGUGUGACGGUAGUGGGUAAAGAAGCACCGGCUAACUACGUG